UUGAGAAUGAGAAACUUAAGUUGGAACAUGUUUAGCUUUCAGAGGAGAAUAGUGGGUUAUGUGUGUAGAAUCAAAAAUUGGCUGAAGAGGCUUUUUAAGCAAAAGAACUGGCUUCUGCUGCUAUUGUGGAGCUGAACAAUUUGGUUGGUGAAGUGUCAAAGCCUUCCAACAUUUUGGUUUUGGGUCUCCUAGUCUUCAAAGGCUGUUAUGCUGAAAGUACCAGUGGUGGUUCGUCUUGAAGGCACAAACGUGAUUAGAAAAGAGUACGAUCUCACUCUUUUGUUCAACUUGUAAGUCCAAGGCGUUUACCAGACACUAUGUGAAAGAAACAAAGUUUUUAUUUUUAUUUUUUAUAGAAGAAAGAAACUAAACUCAAAGUCUGACACUUCAACUUUGGGGAGGGUCAAAGUUCACAUCUUUCUUGGUUGUGUUAAAUUGAGGUACUUUUGAUGAUCUCUCUUCAUUUUACCUUCUGGGUAUUCCUUAAUUUUGGUAAACAAGUUGUGGGUAUCUUUGAAAAUCA